rnacentral:rRNA from 1 species
UACGGAGGAUGCAAGCGUUAUCCGGAAUGAUUGGGCGUAAAGGGUCCGCAGGUGUCAAUGUAAGUCUGCUGUCAAAGAAUGAGGCUUAACCUCAUCAAGGCAGUGGAAACUACAUAGCUAGAGUACGGUCGGGGUAGAAGGAAUUCCUGGUGUAGCGGUGAAAUGCGUAGAGAUCAGGAAGAACACCGGUGGCGAAAGCGUUCUGCUAGACCUGUACUGACACUGAGGGACGAAAGCUAGGGGAGCGAAUGGG